UUCCAAAAAGGAUUGGUUUUUCCAUCCAAAAAGAAGCAGUGGUGCAGCUUGUUUCCUGGUUACCUUCUAUUUCUUUAUAAACUUUAUUAAUACAUUUUAACAUCAUCUUUAAUUUUUGUGCAAAUUGUUUUCUACUUGUAAGCUUAUUAUUUAUUUUGUUGACAAGAUUGAUUUUGCCAUACGUCUCUUAAGUAAGAGCUUUAUUGGCCAAUUGG
rnacentral:lncRNA from 1 species